ACACUCCUGCGGGAGGCAGCAGUGGGGAAUUUUACGCAAUGGGGGAAACCCUGACGUAGCGACACCGCGUGAGCGAAGAAGCCCUUUGGGGUGUAAAGCUCUGUCAGCUGGAACGAAAACAAUGACGGUACCAGCAGAGGAAGCAUCGGCUAACUACGUGCCAGCAGCCGCGGUAAGACGUAGGAUGCGAGCGUUGUCCGGAUUUAUUGGGCGUAAAGAGUUCGUAGGUGGUUUGUUAAGUUUGGUGUUAAAGAUCGGGGCUCAACCCUGGGACUGCACUGAAUACUGGCAGACUCGAGUGUGGUAGAGGCUAGUGGAAUUCCCAGUGUAGCGGUGAAAUGCGUAGAUAUUGGGAAGAACACCGGUGGCGUAGGCGACUAGCUGGGCCAUAACUGACGCUGAGGAACGAAAGCCAGGGGAGCGAAUGGGAUUAGAUACCCGGGUAGUCCCAUGA
rnacentral:rRNA from 1 species